rnacentral:rRNA from 1 species
GAUGAACGCUGGCGGCGUGCCUAAUACAUGCAAGUCGAGCGAACAGACCAGGAGCUUGCUCUACUGACGUUAGCGGCGGACGGGUGAGUAACGCGUGGCUAACCUACCUAUAUGACUGGGAUAACUGCGGGAAACCGGAGCUAAUACCGGAUGAUAUAUUGAAACGCAUGGUGCAAUAGUGAUAGACGGUUUUGGUGUCACUUAUAGGUGGAUCCGCGCCGCAUUAGUUAGUUGGUAAGGUAACGGCUUACCAAGACAACGAUGCGUAGCCGACCUGAGCGGGUGUACGGGCACACUGGAACUGAGACGCGGUCGUGACUCCUACGGGAGGCAGCAGUAGGGAAGCGUCCGCGAUGGGGGAAAGCUUGCCGGAGGAACGCCGCGUGAGUGAUGAAGGUCUGCGGAUCGUAAAACGCUGUUAUUAGGGAAGAACGAAUGUGUGAGUAACUAUGCUCGUCUUGACGGUACCUGGUCAGAAAGCCACGGCUAACUACGUG